rnacentral:rRNA from 1 species
AUUGAACGCUGGCGGCAGGCCUAACACAUGCAAGUCGAGCGGAUGAAGGGAGCUUGCUCCUGGAUUCAGCGGCGGACGGGUGAGUAAUGCCUAGGAAUCUGCCUGGUAGUGGGGGAUAACGUCCGGAAACGGGCGCUAAUACCGCAUACGUCCUGAGGGAGAAAGUGGGGGAUCUUCGGACCUCACGCUAUCAGAUGAGCCUAGGUCGGAUUAGCUAGUUGGUGGGGUAAAGGCCUACCAAGGCGACGAUCCGUAACUGGUCUGAGAGGAUGAUCAGUCAACUUGAAACUGAGACACGGCCCGGCCACUUAGGGACGGCGCAGGUGGGGAAUGUAGGAAAUUGGGCGAAAGCUUGAACAAGCCAUGCCGGGUUGGUGAAGAAGGUCUUCGGAUUGUAAGGCACUUUAAGUGGGAGGAAGGGCAGUAAGUUAAUACCUUGCUGUUUUGACGUUACCAACAGAAUAAGCACCGGCUAACUUCGUG